rnacentral:rRNA from 1 species
UACGUAGGAGGCGAGCGUUGUCCGGAAUUACUGGGCGUAAAGCGUGCGCAGGCGGUUUUGUAAGUUUGUCGUGAAAGCCCCGGGCUCAACCUGGGAAUUGCGAUGAAGACUGCAAGGCUUGAAUCUGGCAGAGGGGGGUAGAAUUCCACGUGUAGCAGUGAAAUGCGUAGAGAUGUGGAGGAACACCGAUGGCGAAGGCAGCCCCCUGGGUCAAGAUUGACGCUCAUGCACGAAAGCGUGGGGAGCAAACAGG